GACGAACGCUGGCGGCAUGCCUAACACAUGCAAGUCGAACGGAGAUAGCAAUAUCUUAGUGGCGGACGGGUGAGUAAUGGAUGAGUAAUCUGCCUCAUACACUGGGAUAACACAGAGAAAUUUGUGCUAAUACCGGAUGAGACCACACUACCGCAUGGUAGAGGGGUCAAAGGGCUUUACUGGUAUGAGAUGAGCUCAUCUCCCAUUAGCUAGUUGGUAAGAUAACAGCCUACCAAGGCGACGAUGGGUAGCCGGCCUGAGAGGGUGAACGGCCACAUUGGAACUGAGACACGGUCCAAACUCCUACGGGAGGCAGCAGUGAGGAAUAUUGGUCAAUGGCCGGAAGGCUGAACCAGCCAAGUCGCGUGAGGGAAGACUGCCCUAUGGGUUGUAAACCUCUUUUAUUCGGGAAGAAUAAGUUUCACGCGUGGAACGAUGCCUGUACCGAAUGAAUAAGCAUCGGCUAACUCCGUGCCAGCAGCCGCGGUAAUACGGAGGAUGCGAGCGUUAUCCGGAUUUAUUGNGUUUAAAGGGUGCGUAGGCGGUUGAUUAAGUUAGUGGUAAAAUGUCAUGGCUAAACCUUGGCCAGCCAUUAAUACUGGUCAGCUUGAGUACAGACGAGG
rnacentral:rRNA from 1 species